rnacentral:rRNA from 1 species
CGAAAGCCUGACGGAGCAAUGCCGCGUGGAGGAUGAAGGCCUGUGGGUUGUAAUCUCCUUUUCUCAGAGAAGAAGUUCUGACGGUAUCUGAGGAAUAAGCAUCGGCUAACUCCGUGCCAGCAGCCGCGGUAAUACGGAGGAUGCAAGCGUUAUCCGGAAUCAUUGGGCGUAAAGCGUCUGUAGGUGGCUUGGUAAGUCGACUGUUAAAUCGUAGAGCUCAACUCUAUAUCGGCAGUCGAAACUACUUCGCUUGAGUGUGGUAGGGGCAGAGGGAAUUCCCGGUGUAGCGGUGAAAUGCGUAGAUAUCGGGAAGAACACCAACGGCGAAAGCACUCUGCUGGGCCAACACUGACACUGAGAGACGAAAGCUAGGGUAGCCAAUG